AUUGAACGCUGGCGGAAUGCUUUACACAUGCAAGUCGAACGGCAGCACGGGGGCAACCCUGGUGGCGAGUGGCGAACGGGUGAGUAAUACAUCGGAACGUGCCCAGUCGUGGGGGAUAACGUAGCGAAAGUUACGCUAAUACCGCAUACGAUCUACGGAUGAAAGCGGGGGACCGUAAGGCCUCGCGCGAUUGGAGCGGCCGAUGUCAGAUUAGGUAGUUGGUGAGGUAAAGGCUCACCAAGCCGACGAUCUGUAGCUGGUCUGAGAGGACGACCAGCCACACUGGGACGGAGACACGGCCAGACUCCUACGGGAGGCAGCAGUGGGGAAUUUUGGACAAUGGACGAAAGUCUGAUCCAGCCAGUCCGCGUGCAGGAUGAAGGCCCUCGGGUUGUAAACUGCUUUUGUACGGAACGAAAAGGUCUCUCUUAAUACGGGGGGCUCAUGACGGUACCGUAAGAAUAAGCACCGGCUAACCACGUGCCAGCCGCCGCGGUAA
rnacentral:rRNA from 1 species